AGCACGGGUGCUUGCACCUGGUGGCGAGUGGCGAACGGGUGAGUAAUACAUCGGAACAUGUCCUGUAGUGGGGGAUAGCCCGGCGAAAGCCGGAUUAAUACCGCAUACGAUCUACGGAUGAAAGCGGGGGACCUUCGGGCCUCGCGCUAUAGGGUUGGCCGAUGGCUGAUUAGCUAGUUGGUGGGGUAAAGGCCUACCAAGGCGACGAUCAGUAGCUGGUCUGAGAGGACGACCAGCCACACUGGGACUGAGACACGGCCCAGACUCCUACGGGAGGCAGCAGUGGGGAAUUUUGGACAAUGGGCGAAAGCCUGAUCCAGCAAUGCCGCGUGUGUGAAGAAGGCCUUCGGGUUGUAAAGCACUUUUGUCCGGAAAGAAAUCCUUGGUUCUAAUAUAUCCGGGGGAUG
rnacentral:rRNA from 1 species